UACGUAGGGGGCAAGCGUUGUCCGGACUUAUUGGGCGUAAAGGGCGUGCAGGCGGUCGCGCAAGUUUGGAGUGACAGUGCUUGGACUUAACCAAGCAAGGCCUCUGAAAACUGUGUGACUUGAGAGUCAGAGAGGGACAUAGAAUUCCGGGUGGAGUGGUGAAAUGACGUAGAUAUCCGGAGGAAUACCAAAGGCGAAGGCGAGUGUCCUGGCUGAGUUCUGACGCUGAGGCGCGAAAGCUAGGGGAGCGAACGAGG
rnacentral:rRNA from 1 species